GACAGUCUGACCAUGAACACCGGGCCAAUCACUACUAAUUCACCUAUCAGUUUGGGAUGUGAGAAGAAGGUUCUAUGGAAUGUCAGAAUUGGAACAUGACAUUCUCUGGUUAGGCUUGUGUAGGUAUGCUAAGUGGGUGGGGCUUGCUGGGAUAUAAUUUGUUGAGCGUGCAUGGCAGGGAAACCCUGAUUGAAGAACUGUGAAGUUCACACUGGUCUGUGGGCCUCUCUGGGAAAACUGUCUUGAUUAUUAGUUGAUGCAGGAAGACAUGGCACAUUGUGGUUGGCACCAUCCUUAGGUUGGUAGUUCUGGGCUGUGUAAGAAAUCUCACUACACAGCUAGAAAGCAAGCCAGCAAGCAGAGUUCAUUCAUGGUCCCAGCUUCCAGGUUCCUGCCCUGCCCUUUGUCAGUGAUAAAUUGUGACCUAGGUAUAGUAGCCAAAUAAAGUCUGCCUUCCCUUAAGUUGCUUUUGGUCAGAAUAAAACUAGAAUUGAAUAUAUGGUUGCCAUCAAAUUAUGUUUAUACACGCUUAAUAUUACGGGUAAUACUACACACAGAUGCAGCUGAAGGCAUAAGAAACCCAUGUUGACUUUUGUUGCCAGCUUGGAGUGAAAGUCCUGUGAGUCCAGGGAUGCUCCCAAACAGGAUCAGGGAACUUCUCCAGCAGACGCUGCUGGCUACUGCAUGACAGGUACUGACAGCAGCGAGCCUUUGCUCUUGUGCUGAGGAAGUGAACAGUGCUGAAACCUCAGCUGUCACUUCCUCUUUCCUAGAAACGCUGUGCAGGAUGAAGAGCUGCCACCUGAGAAGUCUGUGGUCUCAGGGGAGUAGGAGGAACAAGCAAGUGACACAGACUUCCUCAAAGAUGAACUACACGGGAUGAUUGCAUUGAAUUAACAUGCUAAGCUGUUUUUCCUUUAAAGAUGUAUGUACCUAUAUCAUACGUAUGCUAUAGGUGCAAAUUACAGAACUGUUUCCUGCAACUGAAUAUGGAUGGGCAAAGACUCGGCACACUGGUGUAUUUCCAGUACCGGUUGGAACUGUUUCCUGUGAAGAUCUAAAACCCUCCUCUGAAAAGUCCCAACCAUCAGGUGAGGCCCUAUUGACCCUCAUUUUACUCAUAGUCUGUGGUACACAAUAGGUGCUCAAUGCUUGUUGAGUUGUACUGAGCAAACUAAGUGAUACUUUGGCGCAGUCUUCUGGGUUCAUUUGGAGCAGGAUACUGGGUUGAUUUGCUUUAGCAAGUCCUCAGGUAUUUGGCGUCACUUCCUGCUCACACCUACAUGCCAGUGUGACAGCCAAACUGUGGAAUUUGUGGCUCCUGCUAGAAACAAUCAAGGCCUUUAGAAUUCUGUCUAUGGGAAGGACAGGUUGGCUCCGGUGUCUGUCCCAGAGGUUCCCAGGGAGGACAUCAGAGCAGUUCCAAUGCCCAGGGAUGCAUAACAUCCAUUCCGAUGACUUUAGUGUUUUCUCUGGGGCUUGUGGUUAAGUCAGAGAUCGUAGAAGACGUUAGAAAAACUGACCUUCCAAAAGUCAAAUACAUUUCUGUUGAAAAAUGUUAAAAUCUCCUAUAAACCUCUUAGGAGACCAAAAAACCAAACUAAACCAAACCAAACCCAAAACAAACAAAAAUCCCAAAACCCUAAGAACAAAAAACUAAAACCC
rnacentral:lncRNA from 1 species